ensembl:lncRNA
CUUUUUUUUUUUUUAGGGAUGUACGUUAGUUUACCAUGCUGAAACACUUUGCUUCUCUAUUGGGGUGUUGGUAAGCAGGGUGCUGGGAGCUUGGUCUCAGAGCUCACUUUGUUCUCUUCUGCAGACAUGACACUUAGCAUGAAUAUUGAGUUUCGCCAUAUGCUCUCAUGGGGAAUAAUAAGAAAAAUAAAGGAAGCCGGUUUCAGAGCAGGCACAAGAGCCAAAAAGUGCUGCAUUCACAACCUGCUGAAUGCCCCAGAUAAUUGUCAGCCUUUUUUUAUCAUUACAGAGAAGCGGGGUGGAUUUUUUGCCAAUUCAUAAGCUGAUCAUGUUUGAAAAUAAGGCCUCGGGAUGUUCUCAUGCAUUUUACUCUGAAAGUAAAAUACUGUAAAUGUAUCAAGGAUGGAGUCUAUGUUUGAGACUUCAUUUUUUCCAGGGUAUUCAGAAACAAACCUAAUUCUCUUUCCAUGUGAGAAUGCUGAUACCUGCUGGCAUAUUUAUGGCCAGCAGGAUGAAGGUUGCUUGGAUCCUUUUCUGAUUUUUGAAAGUCUUCUAGAAAUGUGACUCUGGGGCAUCAUGUAUGUCUUGAGUUUGCAGUGUCAUCUUGUCAAUGAUUUAAGUGCUAUAACCCUAAACAGCUGUUUACUGCUCCCUGUGUCAUGUCAGCUGGUUGGCCCUGAAUGCCAUCUGUGCAUGCAACUCCACUUGUUGAUUGGUGGAGGAGGCUUUUAGGAGGCAUGGGCUACACAUGCAUUCAGCUCAGCAAAAGAAUUUGCAUGCUUGCUUAAUUUUAAGCACAUCCUUGUAUGCUUUAGCGUUUUGCUGAAGUGGGGUGAAUGAGAGUGUUGGUGAAGAGCAGUGGGCACUUCUACACCCAAACCAGCUUUUUGCUUGUGGGGAGAAUUACAGGUCUCUGUGAAUAUGGAAAUAUAUGAGUUUGGAGCUUUUCUCCUGAGUGAGUGCAUGAAUGUCUUCCCUGUCUGGUAGCUGAUCUUCUUCUUGAACACUGCCUGUGAUAGCUGAUGCUUACUUCUUUUUGACAAGGAAGCCAAGCUGAUAACAUUCGUAGUUACUGAAAUGAAGUUAAUAGCUGUCAAGCCAACUAACAGAGGUAGAAAUUUUAAGACUAAUGAUUCCCUUUCUUUCAUACCUUUUUGAGACGGAGUGUGUAUGUGUGCACAUGUAAUAAUAUGGCAGUCACUUUUCUUGAGCAAUUUCUAAUUUUUAUCCACAUUUUGCUACUGCUUAAAAUGUAUAUUUUUGUAUUUUAUGCUCAUCUAUACUUUUGUUCACAAAAGAAAUUAGUGCAUGGUAGCAUGGGAGAGGCCUGAACUUCCUGAACUGAGUGCCUUCUAAUACCGAGGUAUAGGUUUUUAACUGCAAAACUAGUUUAGGUGGGGUUAUUUGUUUUACUUUCGCUGUAUUUAGAAUUUAGAAUGUUUUUCACAAACAUGAGGUUCUGUUCUGACUCUCUGGCAGAGCUUAGGUCUGGUUCUUUGUAGUCAGUUUACGCUUUUUACUUGUCUUUGAUGCACUUUUGGUCUAGUCCCUUGAAUAGUUGAUUAGUGCUUUAACAUGAGUGCCUGUGCUGUUCUGACCCACAUGAAGUAAUACUACAUUUAUUGAAAUCCAAAGCACUCCGUAGUCAACAGGAUGCAGGAUCUGACCCUCUGCAAGUCAUGGCCUUGGUUACAUAGGUCCAGAGCAAAUAGAAACUAAAAGAUACAAACUGAAACACAUGUUUGUGUUUCAAAUCCUUUACUCAUAUAUGGGAGCAUAGAUUGAAUUGUGCCAAGUGUAAGAUCUGGAAAACACUUUAAGCUGGGAUGUAUUUUGCUGUGGGUUUGGUUUCUUGGUGACCUAUGAAAGCAGGUCUGUUGCCUUUGGGCACCUUGACAUGUCAUUUGCCUCCACUUAAUAUGAUUUCAAGAACCCAAAGCUCACAUACUUUUGUUUUUUACUAUACGUAAAGCUUCUCAAGGAGACAUUAAUACCUGAUUAAUGUUGGGAUAAAAAGGCUUAUUUUCUAGACAAGAUGUACUGGAGAUAAACUGCUCCUUUGCAGUAGAUAGUAGGGAUAAACUAAUUUUAUUUUGCAGGCAAUCCCAGCUUCCUGAAUAUCUUCCAGAAAAAUGGAUUUUAACUGCUCAACCUAAUUUCAGACAGUGCAGCUUUUAUUAGUAUUCCCCUAUAUUUGUUUUUGAGACAAACCACAUGUUUUUAAAUGAUUUUCAGCUGCCUUGCACACCCUACUGAGAGGCAUCAGUCAUAAUGCACCGUGUCAUGUAAAUUGUUGGAGUCAGUGAACAAAUAUCCUCUUUUAUUUUACUUUUUUCUAUAAAGCAGGCAUAUUAUUACAGACAUCAAAAUCUGCCUCUGUACUAAGCUAUUUUUAAGGAACAGUUCUACAUUGUGUGACUUUAAAUAAAUAUUUACACCAGGUGGCCUUUCACAUUCCUAUACUGAUGCCUUCAGUCACUUUGCAGUUGUGGCUAGUGCUUUGAAUGGGUUGCAGAGGAGAAAUUUUGUACUGUGUGUUGGCAGUGAAUGGAACCGAGGAAAGGGAAUAUUAUGUGGCAUAAUGACUUUUUUUUUCCCCUCAUCAUUAUAUAGGAAUCAUUACAGAAAAGCUCAGCAUAUAUAUUUUCCCCAUUACUCUGUAAAGUCAAUUUUUGAUGUUAGAGGGGCCAUGCUCCCACUGAAGUCAUUAGGAAAUCUUUUAGCAGAAAUUCUUUAGGAAGUCUUUAGGAAUAAGGUCUUUAAGGAGCUUUAAGGAGUGGAAAGGAGCAGUCAGGAAAAGGUAUUUUGUGAUGGAGCCAUCAUGUUGAGUUGCCUAAACAUUUCUAUGUGGUUGCUGUUUCCUUGAAAUCUGAGUAUUCUCUGUUGCAUUUCGUGCCCCUAUUAGCCACGUGCUGUCAACAGACAUGGUCUGUGCAGUGCCAUUAAUAUGUUGUUAAAUCAGUAAGAAAUAGUCAUUUAUUUAGAAUUGAGUUUAAAACAAAACCAUAACGAAUUUUAAAGGAUCUACCCCCCAACUUCUACUUUUGCUGCCAUCCAUGAUCUUAGUGGAGGUUUCCUCCACAGGUUUCCCUGUGGGUGUCAUCUAGAAACCUUCCAUACCAAAUGCUGUUGUACAGAACAGGGAACAAGUGCUGCCUAACAGGUUUACAGCACCUUGGAGUCUGCGUGCUGGGCCAGCUCUAUGGCUGAUUUAGUUCCUAGUAUGACACUGCCAUGCUCCCAUGUACUUCGCAAACAUGUGCUUGUGGCUUGUGCUCAUCAAUGGCAUGUGGUGAAGGGGGGAGGUGGCCACACUAGUGCAGGAGAAACAGAAGAGCCAAGUUUGGUUUAAGCAGAUUCCUGUAGAAAGCGUAUGUAUAUACGCAGCCAUUAUAUAGGCUCCAGUCUACUACAGUGCCAUUAAAAAACACAAGAUUUUCACGAAGUGCCCAAACCAGAAACAUUGUGUGAUGUUCUGUUUUUCAAAAUAUACAGUUAGGUUUUUAGGAAAGAUUAUAUUUGGAAAGCAGCUGGUGCCUAAUGGCAUAAAUGUUCUAUCUAUCAUCUCAAACACUAAAAAGGAGUAUUCAAUUUUAAUUCUAAUGGGCAAUAAUAUUUCUGUUACAGCCUUUCUUCUUCUACUGUAAAUCUUUAUUCAGCGAGCCAUCUUUAUGUGUUUAGUCGUCUAAAUACAUAGAAAAUUUUGAAAUUAAAUGUUUUCACUAGUAAUUUAUCCAUAAAAUACAACAGCAGUUAAGUGAUCAGGUCUUUUGAGUUUUAUUAUUUUCUACUUUUCCCCAUGUCAAAAUAUUUGACUGCAGUCUUAUUUCUUAUUCUAUAUAUUGUAUUUUUGUGUGCCUCUUGGAAAUAUCAUUGCACUAAUGCUAUUCUAUGCAAUAAAGUCUGACAGUGUGCUG